rnacentral:rRNA from 1 species
GAUGAACGCUGGCGGCGUGCCUAAUACAUGCAAGUCGAGCGAACGGACGAGACGCUUGCUUCUUUGAUGUUAGCCGCGGACGGGUGAGUAACACGUGGAUAACCUACCUAUAAGACUGGGAUAACUUCGGGAAACCGGAGCUUAUCCCGGAUAAUAUUUUGCACCGCAUGGUUCAAAAGUGAAAGACGGUCUUUGUGUAACUAAUAGAUGGAUACGGGCUGCAUUAGCUAGUUGGUAAGGUAACGGCUUACCAAGGCAACGAUGCAUAGCCGACCGGAGAGGGGGAUAGGCCACACUGGAACUGAGACACGGUCCAGACUCCUACGGGAGGCAGCAGUAGGGAAUCUGCCGCAAUGGGCGAAAGCCUGACGGAGCAACGCCGCGUGAGUGAUGAAGGUCUUCGGAGCGUAAAACUCUGUUAUGAGGGAAGAACAUAUGUGUAAGUAACUGUGCACAUCGUGACGGUACCUAAUCAGAAAGCCACGGCUAACUACGUG